CUCACACAUGUAUUUGGGACUGAUCAGGGACCAGAAUUAACAGAUACCACAGAAGAAGGAAAAGUGCUGAAGAAUCAUUAGGUGUUUGCUCUGAAAGCCAGGCUUAGGACCUUCUAGAUGACCCUGGUAGACACCAGACUAGUAAGUAUUUUUCCUCCCAGGCUAAUCUAUGAGGAAGCAACAUAGGAUCUUGACUGGUGGGAGAGCAGCACCGAGCUGCUUGCAGGGCUGCUGGGGAGACUUUGUUGCUGCAGCCCAACCCAGGCUGUGAUCUUCUGGAACAGCAUAAAAGCUACCCUCUGUGUGAAUGGGGUCAACAGACUGCUGAAUAUUAAGAAAAGAAUGGCCCCUCAAUUUCUUCUGGUCUUUACUGUGUCAUUACUGUGGAUUCAUCUCUGGUGUGGUCACAUUUGAGUGAUCUGCUGGUUCUGUCACACAAGCAGCACCUGAAAUUCCUCACUUGAGUUCAGUAUCAUGACUGUCUCAUUCUGAGCAGCUCAUGCUGGGCAUGCCCAUGUGCCUCUCCUCUGCAGGGCUCUGCAAAAGGCUGCACAAAUUUGACUAUAUUGCAAGAUGCUUUUUUCCCUCCUCCCUUUGCAUUUGCUCACUCUGUUAUCGAGCUUCACUGCUCAGGCACUAAACAAUCACUAAGUAUUCAGCACCAGCCCUUGGUUUCUGCACUUCCAGCACAUAACUACCUGUGGGAUCAAGCCCUAAUUGAACGAGUAUUUAGGCAUGACUUCUUGGUGAUUGCUUUUCAGGACCUUAUCCUAAGCCCCUUCAGAAGACAAAGGCAGCUGAGGGCGUUAAGGCUCAAAGAUGGUGCUUGAUGUCUCAUAAAUUUGGAUCUUGCAGUGACUAAGCUUUCUGAGAGUUAUGUUUAAAUCAAGCAACAAAAUCAGCCUGGAAGUUAAACAGUGUUUAAGUCUCUGCUCCUAUAUCUGAGGAGGCUAAAGAACUCAGCCAAGAAGUAUUUUAAAAUGAAUCUAACUAGUUUCUGCACACAGUAGGAGAUGAGAUAUAAGGAAUGCAUUUUGGAGAGGAUGUUUACCAUAUUUUCACACUUACAGCUAGCAGGAUAGCUGGAAGUAAAAAUACUCACUUUUUCAUCCAUUCAAGUUAUAAAUGAGUGUGGCUUAUACAAAGGGAAUCAGCUGAAGCAUCAUCUCUUCUCCCUUAGCUCCCCAGGGCGCCUCUAUAUCAUAUUGUCUGCCUUCCCUGUCAUUUGCUUCCAUUUCUUAUUCUAAUCUUUACUAUUCCUUACCCUAUUACCCUCUAGCCCUGAUUUUGUGUGCAUAUGCAGGCUGUGAGUCCUAUGUAUAAAUACCAAUUUACAGUACCUGGAUGAUGUAAAAUGUGUACAAGGCAAAAUGGUAGAGAAGGUGAACAGUGCUAGGUGCUUAACGUACAGGAGCAGACUGGUGUAUGCAGAUUGGAGGUUAAUAUUACUUCUCACAACUGACUAUAAACUACUGGUAUUUACUGCAGCUACAGGGUUUUAAAAACAUAAUUAAAGAUUAACGAACCUUAACAAGAUCCCUGCCUGCCAGAGGAAUGUUAAUAGAAAUGCAAAAUCCUGUGCAGUGGUGUAGCUUAGGCAACCUUACUGCCAUUAACAAAGCUGAAAUGUUGGAAGUACUGAGGAUGGUGGCACGUUUGAUGCCAGAAGUUAGUCAUUUCUGUUCCUUCUGUUUGUGCUUCUUGGUCCAUUUAGGUGUAGACAGUUUGGACAGAACAGAAUGGUGUUAUUUAUUGUGUCUCAUCUACUUGUUUCUAAGAACAAUUUGGCUGGACACAUGCAAUAGUGUAUGCACACUCUAAACCAAAAACAAUAUUAGCUGGUAUUCUGCCCAGUCUCUCUUUGCUCUCUGCUAAUGAAUGGCAUAAAGUUAUGUUUCACCCAGCUCCUGACUAUUCUACAGCAAAGAGAAUGGCCUUCCCAGAAAUGUGAAUAAAUGAAUUGUAGCCAAGAUGGAAAGAGAUUUCUGUUACAGUCACAGAAAAGUAUUUUAAAAGUGAAAUUCUGUUAUAGGCCCAUGACAACAUUCAUUUUCCCACAAAACCCAUGAUUCCUUUUCUGCUUCACUUAAUGCAUGUUAUAAAACACAGCUUUAUGAGCUAACUUUUAAAAUCAGCAAAAAUCUGUGACUGCAUUUUAAGCCAAGCUUUCGGUUUUACUGAGUGGUGCAGUUACCUCUGCCUCCAACAGCAAACCUUUUCCACAAUGUCUAGUGCUGAAAGUAUGCAUAUGAGGAGUGGGAGACAGAGCUUCUUCAGCUGAGGCUUUUUGACCAUUUUCCAUAUCUUCUGUGGGAUCAAAUUUUUUGAAGAGCAUCUUGACUUUUUCACUUCCAAAUUGACAGCUGUGUAAAGAAGGAAAAAGGAGAGAGCAGAAAGAGAUAAGCAAAAGAAAGGUAUAAAGGAUAUAGAUAUACACCUGCAUUAUCCUGAAGAAUAUUAAUUAAAUGUGCUUUUCUGCUUUCUGUAUUUUUCCUGACCAGUGAAAAUUCCUAUCAGUUCUAUACAUUAUGCCCCUCUUCCCUGCUGUCUGGAGCAGAAAGUGGCUCUUGAUUGGCAAUUCUUCUCCCAUGAUUUGCCAAGGGAUAAAUCUGACAGUUUUUAUGUAAUCAGAAUAUACCUGGAUUUCUUUUCACUGUGGUUGUCUUAUCAUCUUACCAUGAC